rnacentral:rRNA from 1 species
UACGUAGGUGGCGAGCGUUGUCCGGAUUUAUUGGGCGUAAAGAGCUCGUAGGCGGUUUGGUAAGUUGGAUGUGAAAUCUCCAGGCUCAACUUGGAGGGGUCAUUCGAUACUGCCAUGACUAGAGUUCGGUAGGGGAGUGUGGAAUUCCUGGUGGAGCGGUGAAAUGCGCAGAUAUCAGGAGGAACACCCGUAGCGAAGGCGGCACUCUGGGCCGGAACUGACGCUGAGGAGCGAAGGCGUGGGGAGCGAACAGG